GGCUCAGAACGAACGCUGGCGGCGCGUCUUAAGCAUGCAAGUCGAACGGCAAGAUACCUUCGGGUAUCCUAGAGUGGCGGACUGGUGAGUAACGCGUGGAUGACGUACCCUCGUGACGGGGAUAGCCGGUAGAAAUACCGGAUAAUACCGGAUAAGGUCUCACGGAAUAAAGGCGUGAGAGGAAAGCAGCGUAUGCUGCGCAGGAGGAACGGUCUGCGGCCUAUCAGCUGGUUGGCAGGGUAAAGGCCUACCAAGGCGACGACGGGUAUCCGGCCUGAGAGGGUGAACGGACACAUUGGGACUGAGAUACGGCCCAGACUCCUACGGGAGGCAGCAGCUAAGAAUAUUCCGCAAUGGGGGGAACCCUGACGGAGCGACGCCGCGUGGACGAUGAAGGUCGGAAGAUUGUAAAGUCCUUUUAUACAUGAAGAAGAAGUUAUACAGGAAAUGGUAUGAUGGUGACGGUAGUGUAUGAAUAAGCACCGGCUAAUUACGUGCCAGCAGCCGCGGUAACACGUAAGGUGCGAGCGUUGUUCGGAAUUAUUGGGCGUAAAGGGCAUGUAGGCGGAUAGGCAAGCUUGGUGUGAAAUGUUACAGCUUAACUGUGAGACAGCAUUGAGAACUGCCGAUCUUGAAUUACUGAAGGGUAACCAGAAUUCCACGUGUAGGGGUGAAAUCUGUAGAUAUGUGGAAGAAUACCAAUGGCGAAGGCAGGUUACCGGCAGAUAAUUGACGCUGAGGUGCGAAAGUGCGGGGAGCGAACAGGAUUAGAUACCCUGGUAGUCCGCACCGUAAACGAUGUACACUAGGUGUCUGGCAUAACAGCUGGGUGCCAAAGCAAACGUGAUAAGUGUACCGCCUGGGGAGUAUGCCCGCAAGGGUGAAACUCAAAGGAAU
rnacentral:rRNA from 1 species